rnacentral:rRNA from 1 species
AUGCUCGGCAGCGACCUCCCCGACCUCAAAGUCGAUGAGCUCACCAGCGUCAGUAGCAGGCUGGAGGAGAUCCUCAAGAGAAUGGGCGAAAGCAUCGCAAAAAUUAGCGGAAAGCCUCCCGUCUUGCAGCCACAGGCACCAUAUGUCCCUAACAACAUGGACAUGGGGUCUUCGGCGACGUAUCAGGCAUCACCGCUAGCUCCACACGUCCUCGAAAACAUGGACAUGGGGUCUCAGGAGAUGAAUCAGGUGCCAUCGCCCACUCCAUACGUCACUGGAAGCAUGCACAUGGGGCCUCCAAUGAUGUAUCAUGUGCCGCCGCUGCAUGAGGGUUGGCUCGAGACAGUGAUAUCUGGAAGGGACCUCGACGCCCUGGUACAUAAUGGCUAUAGCACCAAUAGGCACGACGGCGUCGGUACCAGUGCCAAUGUUGGUUCUUCCGGUGGGAUGAAGCCCUUUGAUGUGGGGUUUGGUUGGCAAUCGGGCGGCAUCGAUCCUGAAGAAUCAUCUUGGAGUCUUUUCCCUCCCAUGUAA